GUUUCAAGUAAACCUUUGGUUUUCCAAGUGAAACAAUGGCAGCUGCAUGAAUCUUUUUGUUAUGUUUAUGAAGAAGGAAACCGAGCCAGUUAGUUAACUUUGGGAAAGGGCAAAGGGAAUGGACCAUAGAACACAAACAACAAGAACCUUCCAUGUCCUCUUUGGGCAAGGUAAACAUUUUCAUUCCCUUUCCAAAAAUCUCUCAUUUUUAUGGUGCGAUUUGUAGUAAAAAUGUGCAAUGUUAGUACUUCUAUGUGAUUUUUACGGGCUGUGUCACAAAAAACAUGAAAAAAAAAAGUUGUUUUGAGUCUGUCAGACAACCGUGUGACCAUCUCAGUCAGUUGAACUAGGCCGAGAACGAUCAUCUACAGCUGAAGAUGAUGCACACAUCAUCCUGGCCGUUAAUCACGCUCUGAUCACACGGUCAUGGUUCAUCCACCAGACGUAUGUUCCUGUCUCCUUAGAAAUCAAGGACACAGUAGUACGAUCCUAUAGAACAGAUCCUGUUCAAGUAAGGUCGUGCUUGAUUGUGCUCAGUUUCAGAUAUAAAAUGCUUUUAAGUUUUGCAAUCUUUCAAGAUUCUGUAGCAAAACAAAAGCAGCUUUGGUGGGGCUACCGUUUCAAGAAUCUGGGGCCCAUUUUCAUGAAUGGUGACUGAGUUGUCAAGGGGAAAGAUGAGUGAAUAGGGGAAAGAUGUGAGAACAGGUUCCUCAUUCUCAAGGGGAGAAAGGAAGUAGUCUAGUUAAUUGGUGUCGGAUAAACUCCCACAUCGACCAAUUCAUAAACUAAACUAUGCUGCUUACUUAUAAAACGAAAAGACCUCAGCUUGUUAAAAUUUACG
rnacentral:lncRNA from 1 species